rnacentral:rRNA from 1 species
GUCGAGCGGCGGACGGGUGAGUAAUGCCUGGGAAAUUGCCCUGAUGUGGGGGAUAACCAUUGGAAACGAUGGCUAAUACCGCAUAAUAGCUUCGGCUCAAAGAGGGGGACCUUCGGGCCUCUCGCGUCAGGAUAUGCCCAGGUGGGAUUAGCUAGUUGGUGAGGUAAUGGCUCACCAAGGCGACGAUCCCUAGCUGGUCUGAGAGGAUGAUCAGCCACACUGGAACUGAGACACGGUCCAGACUCCUACGGGAGGCAGCAGUGGGGAAUAUUGCACAAUGGGCGCAAGCCUGAUGCAGCCAUGCCGCGUGUGUGAAGAAGGCCUUCGGGUUGUAAAGCACUUUCAGUCGUGAGGAAGGUGGUGUAGUUAAUAGCUGCAUCAUUUGACGUUAGCGACAGAAGAAGCACCGGCUAACUCCGUGCCAGCAGCCGCGGUAAUACGGAGGGUGCGAGCGUUAAUCGGAAUUACUGGGCGUAAAGCGCAUGCAGGUGGUUAGUUAAGUCAGAUGUGAAAGCCCGGGGCUCAACCUCGGAACUGCAUUUGAAACUGGCUGACUAGAGUACUGUAGAGGGGGGUAGAAUUUCAGGUGUAGCGGUGAAAUGCGUAGAGAUCUGAAGGAAUA